UGGGGAAUAUUGCGCAAUGGGCGAAAGCCUGACGCAGCCAGCCCGCGUGUGUGAUGAAGGCCUUCGGGUCGUAAAGCACUGUCGUAGGGGAAGAAUCAAUGACGGUACCCUACAAGAAAGCACCGGCUAACCCCGUGCCAGCAGCCGCGGUAAUACGGGGGGUGCAAGCGUUGCUCGGAAUCACUGGGCGUAAAGCGUCCGCAGGUGGGUGUGUGUGUCGGAUGUGAAAGCCCAGGGCUCAACCCUGGAA
rnacentral:rRNA from 1 species